GCAUAUCAAUAAGCGGAGGAAAAGAAACCAACAGGGAUUGCCCUAGUAACGGCGAGUGAAGCGGCAACAGCUCAAAUUUGAAAUCUGGCGUCUUUGGCGUCCGAGUUGUAAUUUGCAGAGGGCGCUUUGGCAUUGGCAGCGGUCCAAGUUCCUUGGAACAGGACGUCACAGAGGGUGAGAAUCCCGUACGUGGUCGCUAGCCUUUACCGUGUAAAGCCCCUUCGACGAGUCGAGUUGUUUGGGAAUGCAGCUCUAAAUGGGAGGUAAAUUUCUUCUAAAGCUAAAUACUGGCCAGAGACCGAUAGCGCACAAGUAGAGUGAUCGAAAGAUGAAAAGCACUUUGGAAAGAGAGUUAAAAAGCACGUGAAAUUGUUGAAAGGGAAGCGCUUGCAGCCAGACUUGCCUGUAGUUGCUCAUCCGGGUUUUUACCCGGUGCACUCUUCUACGGGCAGGCCAGCAUCAGUUUGGGCGGUUGGAUAAAGGUCUCUGUCAUGUACCUCUCUUCGGGGAGAACUUAUAGGGGAGACGACAUGCAACCAGCCUGGACUGAGGUCCGCGCAUCUGCUAGGAUGCUGGCGUAAUGGCUGUAAGCGGCCCGUCUUGAAACACGGACCAAGGAGUCUAACAUCUAUGCGAGUGUUUGGGUGUCAAGCCCGAGCGCGUAAUGAAAGUGAACGGAGGUGGGAACCUUUCGGGGUGCACCAUCGACCGAUCCUGAUGUCUUCGGAUGGAUUUGAGUAAGAGCAUAGCUGUUGGGACCCGAAAGAUGGUGAACUAUGCUUGAAUAGGGUGAAGCCAGAGGAAACUCUGGUGGAGGCUCGCAGCGGUUCUGACGUGCAAAUCGAUCGUCAAAUUUGGGCAUAGGGGCGAAAGACUAAUCGAACUAUCUAGUAGCUGGUUCCUGC
rnacentral:rRNA from 1 species